UCAAGCUACUAAGGGCAUACGGUGGAUGCCUUGGCACUAAGAGCCGAUGAAGGACGCGGUAAGCUGCGAAAAGCCACGGGGAACUGCAAGCAAGUCUUGAUCCGUGGAUGUCCGAAUGGGGAAACCCACCAUCCGUCAUGGGAUGGUAUCCUACGGGAGGGGAACCCGGUGAACUGAAACAUCUAAGUAGCCGGAGGAAGAGAAAUCAAACGAGAUGCCCACAGUAGCGGCGAGCGAAGAGGGCAGAGCCUAAACCAGUCAUCUUCGGAUGGUUGGGGUUACGGACCUGCAUCAACCGAGUCCUACCUAGUCGAAUUACCUGGAAAGGUAAGCCAGAGAGCGUAAGAGCCGCGUAGGUGAAAGGAAGGACGAGGGGGCAGGGAUCCAGAGUACCACGAAGCACGAGGAAUUUUGUGGGAAGUCGGGGGGACCACCCUCCAAGGCUAAACACUUCUUAGUGACCGAUAGCGCAUAGUACCGUGAGGGAAAGGUGAAAAGAACCGCGGGAGCGGAGUGAAAGAGAACCUGAAACCGUAUGUCUACAAGCAGUCGGAGCGCAAGCGACGGCGUGCCUAUUGAAGAAUGAGCCAACGAGUUACGGGCACCAGCGAGGUUAAGCAGGAAAUGCGGAGCCGGAGCGAAAGCGAGUCUAAACAGGGCGAAUAGUUGGUGUUCGUAGACCCGAAACUGUAGUGAUCUACCCAUGAUCAGGUUGAAGCGCAGGUAAAAAUGCGUGGAGGACCGAACCGGUGAGCGUUGAAAAGCUUUCGGAUGAAUCGUGGGUAGCGGUGAAAUUCCAAUCGAACGCAGAGAUAGCUGGUUCUCCUCGAAAUAGCUUUAGGGCUAGCCUCAAGCAGUAAGCAUAGGCGGUAGAGCACUGAUCGGGAUAGGGUCCGUAAAGGAUACCGAACCCUGUCAAACUACGAAUGGUUAUGCUGCAGAGCUUGGGAGUCAGACUACGAGAGAUAAGUCCCGUUGUCAAAAGGGAAACAGCCCAGACCGUCAGCUAAGGUCCCCAAUGCCAUACUAAGUGGAAAAGGAUGUGGGGUCUCAUAAACAACCAGGAUGUUGGCUCAGAAGCAGCCACCAUUUAAAGAGUGCGUAAUAGCUCACUGGUCGAGAGACCCUGCGCCGAAGAUUCCCGGGGCUAAAGUACGAAACCGAAGCUGUGGCUGUAUACGUAAAGUAUACGGGGUAGGGGAGCGUUCCCAUAGGGUAGAAGUCGAACUGGAAGGUUCGGUGGACUUGUGGGAAGUGAGAAUGUUGGUAUGAGUAGCGAAAAGAAAGGUGAGAAUCCUUUCCACCGAAAGCAUAAGGAUUCCUGAGCAACGAUCGUCGUCUCAGGGUAAGUCGGGACCUAAUCCGAGGCAGAGAGCGUAGGAGAUGGACAACUGGUUGAUAUUCCAGUACCGGUAGUAAUUGUUUGAGCAAUGGAGUGACACAGAAGGGCAGGCAAGCAUGCGAAUGGAAGAGCAUGUGUAAGCGUGUAGGGUGGUGCAUAGGCAAAUCCGUGCACUGAAAGCCUGAGGCGUGAUGCGGAGUGAGCAGAGAUGCGAGCGAAGUUGUUGACCCCACACUGUCGAGAAAAGCUUCUAGUGAGAGAGCUACCGCCCGUACCGUAAACCGACACAGGUAUGCGGGGAGAGAAUCCUAAGGUGCGCGGGAGAACCCUCGUUAAGGAACUCGGCAAAAUGUACCCGUAACUUCGGGAUAAGGGUAGCCACAGUGGUGAAGGGACUUGCUCCUGGAGCCUAGUGUGGUCGCAGAGAAGAGGCCCAAGCGACUGUUAACCAGAAACACAGGUGCCUGCGAAAGAGAAAUCUGAUGUAUAGGUGCUGACACCUGCCCAGUGCUGGAAGGUUAAAGAAGGAUGUCCGGGUUCGACCCAAAGCAUUUGACUGAAGCCCCAGUGAACGGCGGCCGUAACUAUAACGGUCCUAAGGUAGCGAAAUUCCUUGUCAGGUAAG
rnacentral:rRNA from 1 species